UGAUGGGAUGAAAUGUCUAUUUUGACUGGUUACAUGAUGAAUAAAACAAAAAUCACCAUCUUUCGGCUGACA
rnacentral:snoRNA from 1 species